rnacentral:pre_miRNA from 1 species
UCAUGAUGAUGAUGAUGAUGAUGAUGAUGAUGAUGAUGAUCCAUCAUCAUCAUCAUCAUCAUCAUCUUCUUCU